AAGUGAUCGUCCAUUCCCGGCGAACUUGGAAGUGUUUUCUUCAGUUCCAGGGGGACAAAGGGGCAGCAUUUGUCAGAGUAGAGGAGAAAAGACCAUCAAUUUUAAGGUGUCUACCUCAUUGAAGCACGAUUUCAGUGGCCAGAGUUUCAAUCCGAGACAUGUUCGGAACGAAAAGGUCACUCUCAGGGUAUUCUUGAAGACUGACGAGGGUUCGCGUAAGCUUGCCUGCUUCUCGCACGUCAUACCUAUAGAAUUCAAAGCUUAAAACAGUUCACGCUGCGUUGAAGCUGUGACAAAAUACAGUCACUUAAAUUAGUGCUUAAGUUGUUGGAUGUAGUGACGUGUAACGUAGAAAUAAAGUAUCUCACGACAAACGAA